rnacentral:rRNA from 1 species
AACUCCGCGCUCAACGCCGGCCUCCUCAACCCCAUGUCCCCGCCGCCGCUGCCCAUCGACAAGACGCGCUCCAGCCCCACCCUCUUCGACAUGAUGGCCAACGAGCAGGACUACCAGCCCCGCUCCGCCGCCGCCGCCGCCCACUCCGCCCCGCCGCACCCGCACCCGCACCACCCGCUCGCCCCCGCGCGCUCCAUGGACCGCCAGGCGCUGCUCCAGGACCGCGUCGCCGAGCUCAUCGGCAGCUGCAGCCCCGGGAACCAGUUCAACGACGCCGACUCCUCCGACGUGCGCCUCACCCUCAGCUCCAAGGACGGCCUCUCCCUCACGCUCUGCGUGCACCGCCACAUACUCGUCGCCCACAGCAGGUUCUUCGCCGCCAAGCUCUCCGACCGCUGGUCCAAGCAGCAGCGCACGCUGCCCCACAUCGUCGAGAUCUCCGACUGCGACGACGUCGAGGUGUACGUCGAGACGCUGCGCCUCAUGUACUGCAAGGAUCUCCGGAGGAGGCUCAUGAGGGAGGAUGUGGCCAAGGUCCUCGGCAUUUUGAAGGUGUCCGCAGCUAUCGUGUUCGACGCUGGAGUGCUGUCUUGCUUGGAGUAUUUGGAGGCGGCUCCGUGGGCGGAGGAUGAUGACGAGAAAGUGGCGGCAUUGUUGACGCAGCUGCAUCUUGAGAACUCAGGCGCUGGGGAGGUUCUUAAGAGGGUCUCCCUGGAGUUGACACCUUCUGUAGUGACCGAGGAGGUUGAAACGGGAGCAAAUUGCAAUGGCGGCUGUAGUGUGGGUGGUGGUGAAGAGGUGUUAGUCAGGCUCCUGCAGGUUGUCCUGGAGGGCAAAGACGAGAAGGCAAGGAGGGAGAUGAAGGGUCUGGUCUCCAAAAUGCUAAGAGAGAACAGCGCAUCGCGUGGCGGAGCCAUUGGUGGUGACCUCCGCAAGGAGUCACUCUAUUCGGCAUGCAAUGGCUGCCUGUGCCUGCUGCGCGAGCAAUUUGUGAGGGCUGCAGGAGGUGACCAAUCGGAGGUAACGCAGAUUGCAAGGCAGGCUGAUAACCUGCAUUGGAUGCUUGACAUCCUUGUUGAGCGCCAGAUUGCCGAAGACUUCUUGAGGACAUGGGCAAUGCAGAAUGAGUUGGCAGAGAUGCACGGUAAACUUCCAGCUAUACAUCGCUAUGAAGUGAGCCGAGUGACUGCAAGGCUUUUCGUCGGGGUUGGCAAAGGACAGAUCUUAGUGUCCAAGGAGGCCCGCUCACAGCUCCUGAGUACCUGGCUUGAGCCGUUCUAUGAGGACUUUGGGUGGAUGCGGCGAGCAUGCAAGGGCCUUGACCGACAUUUGAUUGAGGAAGGGCUGGCAAACACGAUCCUGACACUGCCACUUGCAACUCAGCAGGAGAUCUUUCUUGCGUGGUUUAAUCGGUUCCUCAACUCUGGGGAGGACUGCCCAAACAUUCAGAGAGGGUUCGAGGUAUGGUGGCGGCGAGCAUUCUGGAAAAGGAGUGCGGAACCGGAGCAACCACCCCGUUUGAGAAUCACAGCAAUCUGCGAUAAUUCUUGA